rnacentral:rRNA from 1 species
UUGUGUCUUCGAGUCGUUGAUUUCACACUGCCGAGAAAAGCCUCUAGAUAGAAAAUAGGUGCCCGUACCGCAAACCGACACAGGUAGUCAAGAUGAGAAUUCUAAGGUGAGCGAGCGAACUCUCGUUAAGGAACUCGGCAAAAUGACCCCGUAACUUCGGGAGAAGGGGUGCUCUUUAGGGUUAACGCCCAGAAGAGCCGCAGUGAAUAGGCCCAAGCGACUGUUUAUCAAAAACACAGGUCUCUGCUAAACCGUAAGGUGAUGUAUAGGGGCUGACGCCUGCCCGGUGCUGGAAGGUUAAGAGGAGUGGUUAGCUUCUGCGAAGCUACGAAUCGAAGCCCCAGUAAACGGCGGCCGUAACUAUAACGGUCCUAAGGUAGCGAAAUUCCUUGUCGGGUAAGUUCCGACCCGCACGAAAGGCGUAACGAUUUGGGCACUGUCUCAACGAGAGACUCGGUGAAAUCAUAGUACCUGUGAAGAUGCAGGUUACCCGCGACAGGACGGAAAGACCCCGUGGAGCUUUACUGUAGCCUGAUAUUGAAAUUCGGCACAGCUUGUACAGGAUAGGUAGGAGCCUUUGAAACGUGAGCGCUAGCUUACGUGGAGGCGCUGGUGGG